GAGGUAGACCACGAUGCAUCAACACAGAAAGUCUGGGGUGGGGGCCCUCUGCCUGCACCAACAUCUUUGUCUCCUGAAAAAUGGCCUUUGUCAGUUAUUUUUAAAAACUGGUGUUAAUCCUGGACACGGAGAUACUCCCAGGAAGACAUCCGAGCCUGGACACACUGAGAUGAAACCACAAACACUCCGAGAGAAAAUGACAUUGAUUCCAGCCCUCAAAGCAACGGGACAAAAAACAAACAGGAGGCUUCCCUCCCGCCCCAGGGGCAGCGGCCAGUGUCUGCGGCUCUGCGGGAAGGGCUCUCACUGUGACCAGAUUGUGGCUUCUGAUUGUAUUGUAGAAUUUCUGGCCCAGCUUUUAAGGUUCAAGGCUUCCUCCCUUUGCUUUUAUGUUAUUUUCUCGUUUAAUAAAGAUACACCUGUGUGAGAA
rnacentral:lncRNA from 1 species